GAAACGGUAGGCUGGGCGCCCCGCCUACUGCGGGCCUUUCGAGCCCGUGACCCGGGUUCAAAUCCCGGCCGCGGCA
rnacentral:tRNA from 1 species